AGCUGCAGGAAUGUGCAGAAUAAUGCGCAAUACCCGCGCCGAAAUUCAGGCCCAGCUUAAAGGGGAGCGGUUAUGGCCAGGGGAGCGGCCAGGGGAGCGGUUAUGGCCAGGGGAGCGGCCAUGGCGAGGGAAGCGGUCAUGGUCAGGGAAGCGGCCAGGGGAGCGGUCAGGGAAGCGGUCAUGGUCAGGGGAGCGGAUAUGGUCAGGGGAGCGGUCAGGGGAGCGGCUGUGGUGAAGGAAGUGGUCAGGGAUGUGGUCAUUGAAACGAUCAUGGGAAUUUUGCAUAACACCUACUGGAGAGCUUUUCAAUUCAGUGCUUUAAUCAUAUGGCAUGUUUUCCCUGUCCGCCCCCCCUCAAAUAAAAAGAAAAUUGCUUGAUUGAAGAAUUGGUGUUUGUGUCAUUUGGCCGUUUUCUCACAACUGCUUUCUGGCAUCAGUGCUUUAAGUUCCUCUCCCUGAGACCUGGGCCCUCAUGUAUAAAACUUUUCCGUAGAUUUCAUCCUAAAUGUGUGCAUACGUACAAGUUUUCAAAUUUAUAAAGCCAUGCGUACGUCACAACCUGCGCAAAGUUCCCUUUGUAAUACCCAGUCAGCGGAAGAUUGUGAGUACAUGAAUCUCCCCC
rnacentral:lncRNA from 1 species